CCCGGGCGGACGGCUGUCACUGCGCUUUAGGCCGGAUGAAGCCCAAGAAGCUGUUGCUGCUGCCCCCGCUGAACCCGUACUCCGCCUUCCGCGCCCCACGAGCCCAUCCCGCAGCCCCGCCAGCCUUGAACGCCGCCCGCACAGGCUACCGCGUCUUCUCGGCCAACUCCACGGCCGCCUGCACGGAACUGGCCAAGUGCAUCACCGAGCGACUUGGUGCUGAAUUGGGGACAUCUGUUGCAUACCAAGUGACCAACGGAGAAACAAGAGUUGAAAUAAAAGAAUCUGCUCGUGGCCAAGAUAUUUUCAUUACACAGACAAUACCCAGAGCUGUGAAUACAGCUGUGAUGGAGCUACGGAUCAUGGCUUAUGCACUGAAGACUUCCUGUGCCCGGAACAUCGUCGGAGUCACCCCCUACUUCCCCUACAGCAAGCAGAGCAAGAUGAGGAAGAGGGGUUCCAUGCUGUGCAAGCUCCUGGCGUCCGUGCUGGCCAGAGCGGGUUUAACUCACAUUAUCACUGUGAAUCUUCACCAAAAGGAAACACAAGCCUUUUUCAGCUUCCCCGUGGACAACCUUAGAGCCUCAUCUUUCCUGCUUCAGUACAUCCAGGAAGAAAUUCCAAAUGACAGAGAUGCAGUCAUUGUACCUAAAUCUUCUGAUGCUGCAAAAAGAGCUCAGUCGCACGCAGAGAGGCUGCCUCUGGGGUUGGCUGGGAUCCAUGGGGAAGCUCAGUGCGCUGAGCUGGACAUGGAUGAUGGUCGUCAUUCUCUCCCAAUGGUCAGAAACGCUACUGUGCACCCGGGCCUGGAGUUGCCAUUGAUGAUGGCCAAAGAGAAGCCACCAGUAACCGUAGUUGGAGAUGUGGGAGGACGCAUCGCAAUCGUAGUGGGUGACGUUAUUGAUGAUGUUGAGAGUUUCGUUGCUGCUGCGGAGAUCCUAAAAGAGAGGGGUGCUUACAAGAUCUAUGUUAUGGCCACUCACCGCAUCCUGUCUGCGGAGGCCCCCCGCCUGAUUGAGGAGUCCUCCAUUGAUGAGGUCGUGGUGGCGAAUACUGUCCCUCAUGAGAUCCGGAAGCUGCAGUGUCCCAAGAUAAAGACUGUGGAUAUCAGUUUGAUUCUUUCUGAAGCAAUCCAGAGAAUCCACAAUGGAGAGUCCAUGGCCUGAAUAUACAGCUUCAUCACAGCUGUAUUCACAUCUCUGGAUAUUGUCUGUAUAAUGAAAAUAUCUUGGCCACGAACAGAUUCUUUUAUUUCAACUCUUGUUUCUCCGUUGGUCUCUUGGUAUACAACAGAUGUCCCCAAUUCAGCACCAGGUCGCUCGGUGACGCGCUUGGCCAGUUCAGUGCAGGAGGCCGUGGAGUUGGCCGAGAAGACAUCACAGUGA